AGCCAAUCAGCUAUAAGGACAGGUAUAAAACCUCUGAUGGGUCUUUUAACAAAGAGAUAGAGGACUCGUGUGAUGACUUCCACCCACCAUGGAGCUCUCCCUGUGUUCUCUGUCAGUUCUGAUGCUAGUGGCUGUUGUGUUCAUGGUACCAAUGAAAGACAGAAGUGAGGAUGUGUUAAGCUUUUUGAAUGGUGCCCUUGAUGUUGCUCCCGCUACUCAAAGCACCUCAGGAAAAAUCAAAGGUCCUGAGAACACCUUUGGUAAACCAGCUCCAACCCCAG